UGUGUAGUGUGUGUAGUGGAUGCAGUGUGUGUUUGUGUAGUGGAUGCAGUGUGUGUUUGUGUAGUGUGUGUAGUGGAUGCAGUGUGUUUGUGUAGUGUGUGUUGUGGAUGCAGUGUGUGUUUGUGUAGUGUAUGUUGUGGAUGCAGUGUGUGUUUGUGUAGUGUGUGUGGAUGCAGUGUGUGUUUGUGUAGUGUGUAGUGGAUGUAGUGUGUAUUAGU